GUGAGAGAAGGAGAAGGAAAUGAGGUCAGGAGGAAUCUGUGGGAACCAAACAUCAGCCUGGUUGCCUGAUCCUCUCCCUAAAAAUGCCAGAAUGAUGUGAAAUGCCAUGCUUGACUGGCUCCCAGCAGUGGAGGGAAAUCUUCAUCCCU